GCCUACGGGGGGCAGCAGUGGGGAAUAUUGCGCAGUGGGCGAAAGCCUGACGCAGCGACGCCGCGUGAGGGAUGAAGGUCUUCGGAUCGUAAACCUCUGUCAGCAGGGAAGAACGGUCACUGUGCUAAUCAGCAGUGAAUUGACGGUGCCUGCAAAGGAAGCACCGGCUAACUCCGUGCCAGCAGCCGCGGUAAUACGGAGGGUGCGAGCGUUAAUCGGAAUUACUGGGCGUAAAGCGCUCGUAGGCGGUAUGUCAAGUCAAGGGUGAAAUCCCCGCGCUCAACGUGGGAACUGCCUUUGAAACU
rnacentral:rRNA from 1 species